rnacentral:snRNA from 1 species
UCACUCUGGCUUCUCUCCAACGUAUGAUUCUUUCGCCUUUUACUAAAGAAUUCCGUGGAGAGGAGCAGUUCAAUGAGUCUUGAACAUUUUCGAUAUCCGACUUUG